UACGUAGGGUGCAAGCGUUAAUCGGAAUUACUGGGCGUAAAGCGUGCGCAGGCGGUUGUGCAAGACCGAUGUGAAAUCCCCGGGCUUAACCUGGGAAUGGCAUUGGUGACUGCACGGCUAGAGUGUGUCAGAGGGGGGUAGAAUUCCACGUGUAGCAGUGAAAUGCGUAGAGAUGUGGAGGGAUACCGAUGGCGAAGGCAGCCCCCUGGGAUAACACUGACGCUCAUGCACGAAAGCGUGGGGAGCAAACAGG
rnacentral:rRNA from 1 species